GAGGGUAUAGCUCAGUGGUAGAGUGUUUGCUUAGCAUGUACGAGAUCUUGGCUCAAUCCCGAGUAUCGCCA
rnacentral:tRNA from 1 species